AGGGAGCGGCGAGGUUUCUUGUUUAAAAGCUUUGGAGAACUGGAGGGUGUCAAGAUAUCAGAGCCCCAGGGAGCUUUUUACCUCUUUCUUGACUUCAGCUCUUACUAUGGGGCAGAGGCUGAAGGUUUUGGUAUAAUUGAGAAUUCAGAGUCCCUCUGUCGAUAUCUGCUGGACAAGGCCCAGGUUGCUCUUGUCCCAGGGGAUGCAUUAGAG